rnacentral:rRNA from 1 species
UAUGACGGCCAAAGCGGCGGGGAUACACCCGGUCCCAUUCCGAACCCGGCAGUAAAGUCCGCCCGCGCACCGAUCUGUACUGUAUUGCGCAAGCGUACGGGAAAACCGGCCCGCUGUCAGCC